rnacentral:lncRNA from 1 species
CAGGAAGCUAGCCCAAGGGAAGAAUUACUGCCGGUGAUUAGCCCAAGUGGAACUCGCCGGGGCACGGGGACCAGGCAAAGGUCAACAACCGACAGCACGGCUCUUCGAAGGCGAUGCCCCCGGCAGAAGAGGCACGCGGGAGGCCAACGCGGGCUGCUGGAAAGAGCUGAGGGGAGAACGGCCUCCGGACGCUGCCUUCGCCUGCCACCGGAGGGCACGAGCCUGGGCCUGAGGACGGCCCGGGACAGGCACUUGAGAAGCGCACGCGGCAGAGGCUGGGCAGGCCCCGGUGCUCCCCCGUCGCUCCCCCGCAGGGCGCGUCGCAGCCGCCGGCUCUGCAGCGUUCCCGGCCGGCAGCUCCGCUCCUGCCCCGGGGCGCACGGCGCCCGCCCGAGCGGCUCCCCGGGGGAGGCGGCUCCGCGGCCCCGCACGGAGCCGCCCGUUGCGCCGGGCUCGCCGCUCGCCAGCCCGGUCCGCGUGCUGCCGGCCGCCCGCCGCCCCGGGAGGGGCUCGGGGACCGCGGCACGCCCCGGGCGGCGCAGGGCCGGCGGCCGCGAGCACCGCCCCCCGGGCCGAGGCGGGCAGCCCCCCUCCGGCUGCGGCCGCCGGGCCCGCCCCGCCCCGCGGCCCGCCCCGCCCGGCGCGGAGCCUGGGCCCGGCGCGGAGCCUUACCGGGGACCGCCCGGCGGCACGGCAGGGCCCGGCCGGCCCCGCAGCCCUCGGCCGCUCGGCGGGGCCGGGCCGCACCUCCCCACGCGCGGGGGCGCUGCGGCGCGGCCCGCACCGGGCGGGGAGGCCGCGCUCCUGCCGGUUAACGGUCCGCGGCCGGGCCGGGCCCCGCGCUGCCCCCCCGCCCCGCCCCGCCCCGCCCCGCCGGCCGCCCGCAGCGGGAGCCGAUCCCGCGCCGCUCCGUACCGAGCCGCCCCGCCCCGCCCGGCGCUCACCUGCCGCCACUGCCGCCGGGCCCGGCCCCGCCCCCGCCACGUGCCGUGCGCGCCCCCGCCCCGCGCGCUGACGUCAACGCGGUGCCCGCGGGGCCGCGCACGUCGCAGGGCCCCGCCCCGCCCCGCCCCGCAGAGCCGCAGCCGCUCUCGCCCCGCGCCGCCUUUAUUGAGCCCGUCACAGCCCGGCCGCGCCGCGCCGCGCCCCGCCCGGAGGGCUCCGGGCCCCCCGGGGCAGCCUCGCCCCCCGCCCCCGGUCCCGUCGCCGGCUGUGGGUCGCGGCAGCCCGUCCCAAAGCCGCCCGUCCGUCCCGCUGCGCCCGCCUCUCGCGGCAGCGGUGCCCGCAGAAGGUACCGACGGGAACCGCACCCGGAGCAGCUCCCAGGCGGUGCGGCAGGGCCAGCCUUGA